GCAGCAUGAUCUAGCUUGCUAGAUUGAUGGCGAGUGGCGAACGGGUGAGUAAUACAUCGGAACGUGCCCUGUAGUGGGGGAUAACUAGUCGAAAGAUUAGCUAAUACCGCAUACGACCUGAGGGUGAAAGUGGGGGACCGCAAGGCCUCAUGCUAUAGGAGCGGCCGAUGUCUGAUUAGCUAGUUGGUGGGGUAAAGGCCCACCAAGGCGACGAUCAGUAGCUGGUCUGAGAGGACGAUCAGCCACACUGGGACUGAGACACGGCCCAGACUCCUACGGGAGGCAGCAGUGGGGAAUUUUGGACAAUGGGGGCAACCCUGAUCCAGCAAUGCCGCGUGUGUGAAGAAGGCCUUCGGGUUGUAAAGCACUUUUGUCCGGAAAGAAAUCGCACUUACUAAUAUUAGGUGUGGAUGACGGUACCGGAAGAAUAAGGACCGGCUAACUACGUGCCAGCAGCCGCGGUAAUACGUAGGGUCCAAGCGUUAAUCGGAAUUACUGGGCGUAAAGCGUGCGCAGGCGGUUGUGCAAGACCGAUGUGAAAUCCCCGGGCUUAACCUGGGAAUUGCAUUGGUGACUGCACGGCUAGAGUGUGUCAGAGGGGGGUAGAAUUCCACGUGUAGCAGUGAAAUGCGUAGAGAUGUGGAGGAAUACCGAUGGCGAAGGCAGCCCCCUGGGAUAACACUGACGCUCAUGCACGAAAGCGUGGGGAGCAAACAGGAUUAGAUACCCUGGUAGUCCACGCCCUAAACGAUGUCAACUAGUUGUUGGGGAUUCAUUUCCUUAGUAACGUAGCUAACGCGUGAAGUUGACCGCCUGGGGAGUACGGUCGCAAGAUUAAAACUCAAAGGAAUUGACGGGGACCCGCACAAGCGGUGGAUGAUGUGGAUUAAUUCGAUGCAACGCGAAAAACCUUACCUACCCUUGACAUGCCACUAACGAAGCAGAGAUGCAUUAGGUGCUCGAAAGAGAAAGUGGACACAGGUGCUGCAUGGCUGUCGUCAGCUCGUGUCGUGAGAUGUUGGGUUAAGUCCCGCAACGAGCGCAACCCUUGUCUCUAGUUGCUACGAAAGGGCACUCUAGAGAGACUGCCGGUGACAAACCGGAGGAAGGUGGGGAUGACGUCAAGUCCUCAUGGCCCUUAUGGGUAGGGCUUCACACGUCAUACAAUGGUGCAUACAGAGGGUUGCCAAGCCGCGAGGUGGAGCUAAUCCCAGAAAAUGCAUCGUAGUCCGGAUCGUAGUCUGC
rnacentral:rRNA from 1 species